UGUGCGUGUUAGGCUUCCUUUUCAGUGUAGGUACUGUUGGUCAUGGUAGAGCAUGAUUAAUCACUGCCAUUUGAAUUUUAAUAUUUAUUUUGUUUUAUCAGGGUAAUUUCUAGAAGUGUGUGUCUACUCUUCAUGGAGGACACAGGCUUCUGCAUGGAGUUUUAAAAUGUGUUGUGAUCACCUCAUUGUGACCUGAGCUGCUGGGCUGCAUCGCAACGGAAUGUUCACCUUUGUCUUCAUAUGUCAAUGAGCUGUGGGACAGUUGAGCAUACUGAAAAGCUAUCCCUGUACAAGGCCGGAUCCACACUGAUGCUUUGCCCCUUCUUGCCAAGGGACCACAUUGUUAGAGACAUUGGUUUGGGGUGUCUUUAUAACCAUAACACGGUGUGAGAUUUUUUUUGUCGUGGUAUCUGAAGAUCUUGAAUGAGUGGUGCUUGCUGUGUUGCAUGCUUCUUCUGGUGCUGGGUUGCUGUCUCCUGUUUCUUUUUGUCUCACCAGGGUCCACCUGAGCAGGGGUUUCGCAUUGGCUGAUCCGACUUUCCUAGACUGAGGAGAAUCCACCAAUUGUAUAGCAGUAUUUAAGAGCCAUUUUAAUAACUUUUCCACACUUUUUGUACUAAAUUGUAAUAAAUUUGAAAUACAUUUAUAUACCUGCCUCUUGUCAACUGUCCCUUUGCGGGGAAAAUAUAGAGUUAGCUACACUACAUUAAGGGAAGACUUGUGGGUCCUCCUGCCCAUCAUCAGGGGGUGGCGUAGUCAAACCAUAAAGAUUUACUCCUUGACGGGUAC